rnacentral:tRNA from 3 species
ACUCGCCGUGGAACCUGGCGUUCGGUGUGCUGCCGCCGUACUGGGCGGCCAAGGCGUUCUGGGUCGCCAGCGAGCAC